AACUAUAACGGUCCUAAGGUAGCGAAAUUCCUUGUCAGGUAAGUUCUGACCCGCACGAAAGGUGUAACGAUCUGGGCACUGUCUCAACAACCCGCCCGGCGAAAUUGUAGUACCGGUGAAGAUGCCGGUUACCCGCGACUAGACGGAAAGACCCCAUGGAGCUUUACUGUAGCCUAAUAUUGGAUUUCGGUAUUUCACGUACAGGAUAGGUGGGAGACUGGGAAGCACAGGCGUCAGCUUGUGUGGAGUCGACCUUGGGAUACCACUCUUGGAGUGCUGGAAUUCUAACCUGCGGCUUUGAAGCAAGUCGGGGGACAUUGUUAGGUGGGCAGUUUGACUGGGGCGGUCGCCUCCUAAAGAGUAACGGAGGCGCUCAAAGGUUCGCUCUGCAUGGAUGGAAACCAUGCGUCAGAGUGUAAACGCAAAAGCGAGCCUAACUGCGAGAAUGACGGUUCGAGCAGUAACGAAAGUUGGAGUUAGUGAUCCGGCGGUAUGUGAAUGGAAAUGCCGUCGCUCAACGGAUAAAAGCUACCCUGGGGAUAACAGGCUGAUCUCCCCCAAGAGUCCACAUCGACGGGGAGGUUUGGCACCUCGAUGUCGGCUCAUCGCAUCCUGGGGCUGUAUUCGGUCCCAAGGGUUUGGCUGUUCGCCAAUUAAAGCGGUACGCGAGCUGGGUUCAGAACGUCGUGAGACAGUUCGGUCCCUAUCUGUCGUGGGCGUAGGAUAUUUGCAAGGAGCUGUCCCUAGUACGAGAGGACCGGGAUGGACGCACCUCUGGUGCACCAGUUGUCACGCCAGUGGCACAGCUGGGCAGCUAUGUGCGGAACGGAUAAACGCUGAAGGCAUCUAAGCGUGAAGCCGCCCUUAAGAUAAGAUAUCCCUUCUGUUUACAGAGUAAGACCCCUUGAAGACUACAAGGUUGAUAGGCUCAAAGUGUAAGCACGGUGACGUGUUUAGCUAGCGAGUACUAAUCGGUCGAGGGCUUAACCUU
rnacentral:rRNA from 1 species